UGCUUUGCUGGUGUGCCGGGGGUUGUUGUGUGUGUGCGUGAGCUGCUGGUAUUUUUGGCUUUUUUGGUGGGGGUGGGGCGGGGGUGUUACAGCUGGUUCUCCUCCUCUGCUACUCCCCCCAGGGUCUGUGCUUGGAGAUGGGGGAGCCAGGAUGGGGGAGGGGCGGAGGAGCGCUGGGUCAGGCUUACCCGGUGACUCAGCGCCCCUGGGUGCUGGGGAGGAGUGACUGGGAGCCCUGUUUGGGGAACGAUCCGGGGUCUCUGGCUGGACCUGAGUGCUGGACUUGGGUUCAGGGGGCCCUGAAGGUCUGCGACCUCUGCACAGUGUGUGGGGACCAGUCAGGCAGGCCCGAUUAUGUAGGAGGAGGGGUACAGGUUUCCGUCCUGCCCAAGUUGAGGCAGAUUCUUUUGAGGUCAUGCCUGAAGAUGUUCUGCCAUGAAAAUUUUCCGCCUGUCCUCAGGUUUCUCCCCUGAGACUCUGAAAUCUCAGUGUGCAUCAGGACAGGCUUGAACCAGGCCCUUGGAAUGGACGGAAUCUCUUCUGCUAACCCCAGUGAGAUCAAAUCCUGCUCCCCGCCCUCCACAUGUGACCCACGUAGCACCAGCAUGCUAGGACCACACACCCCACACCACCCCGGGUAACCUCACGCGGCCACUGCCACCACCUGCUGCGCCCGGCCCCCGGCCUGCCAGGCCUGGGAGUCGCCUUUGCCAGCCUGCCUGGGGCGGGCCCAGCUGGGAUCUCUGCACAGUAUUUUCUUCUUAGUGAAAUACACACACACAGGAGAGCGCACACAGCAGAGGUCUCCAGCUCGGUGGCUUUGCCUCGUGUGGACCCAUGCAUGUGACCGGCAUCCAGAUCAAGAAACAAACCAAUCGGCACCCCAGGAGCCCCUCAUGCCCCUUCUAGCCAGCCCACCCCCCCCACUUAAGGGUAGUCGUCAUUCUGAUUUCUAACAGCAAAUGUUCAUUUUGCCUGUUUCUGCACUUUGCAUAAUUGCAGUCACACUUCUUUUACGUAAUAUUGUGACUAUAACAUUCAUUCAGGUUGUUGUGCGUAUCAGAGUUCGUUCCUUUUGUUGCUGAAUAGAAGUCCACUGCGUGGACAGACCACAACGUUUACCCGUUUUUUUUUUUACUGAGGGACAUUUAGGUUGUUUCCAGCUUUUAGGUUUAGAAUUGGGCUGUGAUGAACAUUCUAGAACACAUGUCUUUUGGUGAACACACACACACAUGUUUCAGUCGGGCACAUACCCAGGAGGGCCUUGCUGAGUCAUAGGAAAUGCUGUGAGUAUGUGUUUUCAAUUCCAGUUAAUGGUGUUCAACCCUGGAUCUUAUUCGAUUUCUUACUUUUUUUCUGUUUUAAAGAAAACUUUGUGUCUCAGUCCGUUCAGGCUGCCGUGGGCUGGGAAGCUCAUAAACAACAGAAGUUGCUGUCCCGCACUUCUGGGUGCCGAGACCUCCAGGAUCAACUUGCUCGCAGACUUGCGUCUGGUGAGGGCCUGCCUCCUGCCUCACAGAUGCUGUGUCCUCACUCGGCAGAAGGGCCGGGGGAGCUCUCUGGGGUCUCCUCUAUACGGGCGCUAAUCCUGUGCACGAGGGCUCCACCCUCAGGAGCUAAGUGCUCCCCAAGCCUCACCUCCUCAUGCCCUCACACUGGGUUCUUCCAAGGCAUGAAUUUUGGAGGACACAAACAUUCAGUCUAUAGCAUUUUUUAUUUUGAAAAAGAUCUCAAAUUUAUAGAAAAGUCAAAAAAGCAGUACAAAGAACAUUUCCCCCCUGAAUUAUUUGAGAAUAAAACGCUGACCUCUUGCCUCAUCGCUCCCUAAUACUUUGAUAUACAGUUCCUACAAGCAAGGGCUGUCUACGUCCACAGUAUAACCACGGAAAUCAGGAAAUUAACACGAUCCGUUACCACUCCCUGCUCAGACCCAUUCAGGCUUCAAUUGCCCUAAUGAUGUGCAGUCAAAGGGUACAGGUCAGAACCACGUGUUGCAUUUGGUUGCCGUAUCUCUUGAGUCUCCUUUAACCCGGAACAGCUCCUGUCUUCCGUGACGUUCAUGACCUCGGCACUUUUGAGGGUGACGGGCUGGCUAUUCUGUAGUGUGUCCCUCACUUUGGGCUCGUCUGUUGUUUCCCAAUGAUUAGAUUCAGGUGAUGCAUCUUGGCAGGUAAAUCACAGAAGUGAUGUGCUCUUCUCUUUGUCCCAUCGUUGCUGGUGUUCGCUUUUUUUUUCCUACAGAUUUAUUGAGAUAGAAUUGGUGUGUAACAUUGUAUAAGUUUAAGGUGUGCAACAUAAUGAUUGAUAUUGUAUAUGUUAUGAAAUUACCUCAGUAAGUUUAGUUAGCAUGGUCGGGUCCCAUAGUUACAAUGUUUUUCCUUGCAAUGAGAAUGAUGGUGCUGGCUUGGAUCUCUUGAUUGAAGAGCCACCUGCCAGACGUCAGUCUGUAAGGUUACCUUUCCCCCUUUGCAAUAGCAGGUGUUUCCUGGGAGGUACUUUGAAACCAUGUAAAUAUCCCGUUCCUCAACAAACUUCUAAUGAUUCAUCUAUUUUUAUCAGAAUGGACUCAUGGUUUUCUAUUUUAUUCAAUGGGUUGUAGCGUAUUAUUAUUAAUUAUUUAUAUGCUCAUGUUUUCCCAUAUAUGGCCACUGGGAGCCCCCCAGCUGGCUUCUGUGCCCUUUUGACAUGUUGCCAUCACUCUUCCAGCUUUUUCUUACUUUCGGGCAUGUGCUUCUCGGGGCUCACCCAGUGCUGUCCUUGCCUCGGCCCUGGAAUCAGCCACUUCGCCCAGCAGCCCUGCCUCUCUGGAGUGGAGGAUGGUGUUUAGAAACCGAGGUCUUGGCAUGAAGUGUGCUCAUUGCUACUGGGUUGUCACUGCUCCCAGGCCCUCUCCGUGGCCAGAGCUAAGGACUGUGUGUGUGUGUGCACAGAGACGCGUGUUUAUAUCUGUAUUAUUUUUGUAUCUAACAAUUAUCUGUGUGUGUAUGUAUGUAUGCAGCUAUCACGUGUCUAGAAAACUGAGUUUACACUGAUAACUCCAGUUCCAACCGAGCACCGCAGACUUUAUUCUCAUCUUCUCUCUUCCCAUAUCUGGAACUCUGACAGUGAGAAAAUUGGCUCCCAUUAUUCUGAAUAUAUUUACUUAUUUGACCAAUCCCCUGGAUGGGACCACUUUCCUGCUCCGCACACACCCUGCCCAUCCCCUCUGCGUCCUGCUCUGCCCUCCCACCUGCUGCCCUUCUUGUGGAUAAUCUCAGUCCAACUCUCCCGCGGCCUCCAUGCAUUUUUCUUUUUAAUUUUUUACUCAAUUUGAAUAUAUAAUAUAUACUCAUUGUUCAAAAUUCAAAGGUUUGAAAGGGUUUACAGUGAAAAGUUGGUCUCCUUCCUACUCGGGCCCUCAAGCUCCCAGGUCUAUUCUGCAGAGGUCCCACAGCUGUCAGCAGUUUUCCUGUUUCAGGUGGUCCGUGUGAGCAGACACGCAUGUGACAUUUACACACAUCACACGCUGUAGUGCUUUUGCACACGGUCUGCACUUUGCCUUUGCAUUGAAUGACGUGUCUUAGAGCUUGCUCACGUCAGUCCCGCAGAGCUGCCUUGCUCUUUCUGAGGCUCAGACAAUAUUCCAUUGCAUUGCUGUGCCAUAAUUAUUUAACCAGUCCCCUUUUGAUGGACAUUUAGGUUGUUGCCAACCUUUUCUAGCUCACAUGAUACUGUGAUGGACAGCCAUAUUGAUUAGGUGGCAUCCUGCACAAGGAGAGCACACGUUCCUGGAAGGCUGUGUUUAGGGCUGCCGCCGUGUUGCUCUGUGUCCCUCUAAUUCAUUGCUUUUUCCUCUGAUGCACCGUGUUCCUCUGUAUGUAUCUGCCUCAUUUAAUGAACGAUUCCGCAUGCGAUGGACACUGAUCCUUCAAGUCCUUGGAGCCACAAACGCUGCCAUGACCAAUGUCACUGAAUGGGCCUCUGUCACGGGUAAGGUGGUCUGCACACUGAGCCAGAGUUUGGGGAGAGACUGAUGGAGGGAUGGGCUGAGGUUGACUCUCCACGAUCCCCCUGCCGGUGUCAGGCAGUUUCUCCUCGUCGCCCUUUGUUGCUGUUCUGUCCCCUUGUCGGGCUCACAAGGGUCAGGUGGGCUGGGUUCCCAUCCCAGCUCUGUCACUUAGAUGUUUGAUCUGGAAUAAGUGACCUCCCCUCUGAGCCUCAGUUUCCUCUGGGCAGCGGGUCUGCUCGCAUGCCUGACUGGUGUGCGCUGUAGGGCUUGUGGAAAGUAAGUCUUUGAUAAACAAAAGGGUCCAUUACAUCAUGGCCCCAGGGCUCUGUGGCUGUCUCUCCUUUGGGCCCAGGUUUGGGGACACGGUCCUCCUAAGGCUGUGACAGGGGGAGGGGCUGACCUGGAGAGGGCCGGGGACUCAGGGGGCGUGAGCUGGGGUUGUUAGGCCCCAAGAAGAGUUGUAAGCAGACUUUUGAUUCAGUAACAUUUGAAGGGAAAAUGCUAAUCUAGGUGGGGACUGGUAUUCCUUCCUUCCUUCAUUCACUCAGGUUCCUCUUUACAGCUUGUGAUUUUGGGCAAGUGGCUUAACUUCUCUGUGCCUCAGUUUCCUCUUCCGCAAAAUGAGGAUGGCAAUAACAGUAGCUGUCUCAUAGGGUGUGGCGAGAUGAAAUGAGGAGGUAUGGAGGGUGCUAGGGUAGUGCCUGGCAGAUGGGAAAUGCUCAAUAAAUAUCAGCUAUGAUCACAAGAUGGUUUUUCAACAAAUCAUUUACCGAGAAUCGGUAUGUGUUGGGGUUAGUCAUCUCUUCCUGCCUGCAACUAGAACCACCUGGAAACUCAAGUUUUGUAAAAUCAGAGCCCAGAAAAGAAGACAGGAUCUUGGGGUAUAACCGCCCCGCCCAGCAGUCUGGCUGCCAAGGGUGUUUCAAGGUCCUCCAACCCCUGCAUCCCAGGCCCGGGUUCCUGAUGCCCUGUCAGCCCCCACCCCCAGCUCCCCAGAGGUCGUGACAUCCUCAAAGCUUCUCUAACAGCGCUGGCUUGAACCCUUGUGGACUCAGAAGAAAAGACUCGGGCAGGAGAACCCCAUUUGUGCAAUCCCGGGGACCCCUCUUCUUAAGCCCUAGAUGCUGCUGAAGGUGCGAACUGCCUUUUCCUUGCAGCCACUUGGGCCCUGGGAGGAAGCGGCAGCGUGGGUUGGCCGGGGUCUUGCCUGUCACCUGCUCUUGCGUGUCCAGCGUGGACCAGGCCUCCUCAGCCUCGGAACUGUUGGCGUUGGGACGGGAUCAUUCUGUGUUGUGGGGCGCUGUCCUGCGCGUUGCAGCAUCCCUGGCCUCCACCCACUAGAUGCCAGUGGCAUCCCCACCCCUCAGUUGUGACAACCAAAAAUGUCCCCAGACAUUGCCAAGUGGCUUGGGGGGGCAGAACCCCCUGAGCUGAAAACCCCUGGUGUGGAGGGUGCAGCAGCCAGGCUGAACCCCGCAGGGUGAGUGGCUCCCCGUGUGGCCCUCGGGUCCCCAUCACUCAGUUAGAGGGUCAGGCUGAGCCAGCAUCCAGGGCCCCCAGCCCGGUCUGACUAGAAUUCUAGGCUCUGGUGCAUUCCUGUCUCUCUUCGCAUCCUGGUUGCAGGCUGCAGGAGGCAGGACGAGGAUCUGGGCCCAGGGGACAGGUCUGGGCGGGGACAGCCUGUAUCUGUUCUUCUCCCCCGUGCCAGACCCUCCCUCCUGGGGCAGGAGAGAGGGUCAUUACAAAAGCAGGCCCUGGGCUGCAUCUCAUUUGAUCCUUGUUGGGCUCUGUGAGGUGGGAGGGCUUUUCUCAUGCCCAUUUUCCAGCAACAGGACAAACCACAAUUGUAUGCCACCCGACGGGACACGCAGGAAGAAUACAGCCUCGCUCCUGUCCCACCCCUGCAAGGAUGCACCGCCCGAGUCUACGAGGAAACAGACAAACCCAAAGAAGGGGCACACGGCAGAGCAGCUGGCCCCUCGUCCUCAGAAGUGUGACGGUCGUGAGCAUCCAGGAGAGACGGAGGAGCUGCUGAGAGGCCUGAAUGUGACAGAAGGGAGCCGGUGUGAUCCUGGGCCCGAAAACAGUCAUAAAGACCUUUGUGGGGACAAGCACAGAAUGUUGAAUAAGGCCCGUGGGUUCGAUGGCGGUGCUGUUCCGAUGGGUCCUGAGUCUGAUAACAGUCCUCUGUGGGCGAUGGGGGGUCCGGAGAUAUGCGCUGGAGGGUUCAGGGAUCAAAGGCCACCGGGUCUCCAACUGACUCGCGAAUAAUUUAGGACAAGAGAGAAAUAUAGAGGGGAAAUGAUGAAGUAAGUGGGACAAAAUAUAAGCAAUCUGGGCGAAGGAUAUCCUGGAGUUCCUUGUAACUCUUGUAAGUUUUCUGUAAGCUCAAAAGUUAUACCCAAAUAAAUUAAGAAAAAAAUCCAAACAUCUGACCUUCAAUAAACCCAGGAAAAAUGAAAAUAUAUGUCACGGAAAGACCUGUAAGCAUCUCCAAAGCAGUUUUAUUGACGAGAGCUCCAAACUAGAAACAACGCAAACGUCUUUGAGCAAGUGAGAAUCGUAGAACGGCUAUAAAUGGGAUGCUAUUCGGCGACAACACGGCGUGGCGAUCGAUUCCUGCACACAAUGGAUGAGGCUGAAAAGCACGACGCUGGGGCCCCGAAGCCAGACACGGAAAACCACAGACUGUGCGGUUCCUCUGACGGGACGUUCCAGAACAGGUCAGACGAAACUCGAAGUCACGACGGUGGCUCCUGUUGUGGGUAGAGGAGUUAUAGCCUGGGGAGGGGCGUGGGGGAGCCGUCUAGGCUGCUGCCGAGGUCCUGUCUGGACCGGGGCAACGGUCAC